UAUAGGCACCUACUGAAAACUGAUAAGAGGUUAAGAUAGCUCUUGGUGUUGUGAUUAGAAGCACAAGAAAUUAAAACAAUUUAAAUCUUGGGUCGGGGAUUUAGCUCAGUGGCACUGUGCCUGCCUCACAAAUGCAAGGUCCUGAGUUCGAUACCCAGUACCAAAAAGAAAAAAAUUAAAUCUAACUUUAAAAUGCUGGAUUUUCAAUUAGAAUCAUAUCCCAGGAUGCCUCUGUACUAACUUGUAGCCCUUGUCAGUUCCUCUAGCUUUACUUCCAAGGGUUCCUACAAAUGUCUCUCUAGAUCUUUGAUACUCACUCAUUCAAAUAUCCUUUCAGCCAUUCCUGUACUUUGGAAUUGACAUGGAUCACCUAGGCCCACCUUGUUGUUGAGUGCCCUGAUUUAAAAAAAAAAAAAGAAAAGCUUUUAAGUUGUGCUGCUCUUUAAGGUAUGUCAAUGGGGUAAUCAGAUGAGCUAAUUUGGGGUUUGGUGUUAGAAUUUACAGCAGCAUUUCACUUUUUCUAAGGAUAUAGUAAGAAUUGCAGAGUGGAUACUUGGGAAAAGGUUAGAAGGUUUUUUUAGUGUUGUUUGUUUGUUUGUUCGUUUUUUAGCAUGAUCAACUCACAAACACAAAGCUUCAUCUCUCUUUGGUUUUAUCUUGUUUCUUAUUCUUUCUCAAAAUAGGCGGAGGUUCAUGUGUGUGGCUCCUGCAUCUCUACAAUGGUUUUCUAUAAAAAGAUGAUUUUAAUGAUAGGAUGGAAAGACUUUUAGAAGGCUCUUGCUAAAUUACCCAGGAGUGGAGGCUUGAGCUCAAAAUCCUACUGCCUCAGCCUGCCAGAGAAC